UACGUAGGGGGCAAGCGUUGUCCGGAAUCAUUGGGCGUAAAGAGCGUGUAGGCGGUCCGGUAAGUCGGCUGUGAAAGUCCAAGGCUCAACCUUGGGAUGCCGGUCGAUACUGCCGGACUAGAGUUCGGAAGAGGCGAGUGGAAUUCCCGGUGUAGCGGUGAAAUGCGCAGAUAUCGGGAGGAACACCUAUGGCGAAGGCAGCUCGCUGGGACGUUACUGACGCUGAGACGCGAAAGCGUGGGGAGCGAACAGG
rnacentral:rRNA from 1 species